CUACGGGUUGCAGCAGUGGGGAAUAUUGCACAAUGGAGGAAACUCUGAUGCAGCAACGCCGCGUGGAGGAUGACACUUUUCGGAGCGUAAACUCCUUUUAUAUAGGAAGAAGAUGACGGUACUAUAUGAAUAAGCGCCGGCUAACUCCGUGCCAGCAGCCGCGGUAAUACGGAGGGCGCAAGCGCUACUCGGAAUCACUGGGCGUAAAGAGCGUGUAGGCGGAUUAAAAAGUCAGAAGUGAAAUCCUAUAGCUUAACUAUAGAACUGCUUCUGAAACUCUUAAUCUAGAAUAUGGGAGAGGUAGAUGGAAUUUCUGGUGUAGGGGUAAAAUCCGUAGAGAUCAGAAGGAAUACCGAUUGCGAAGGCGAUCUCCUGGAACAUUACUGACGCUAAGGCGUGAAAGCGUGGGGAGCAAACAGGAUUAGAUACCCCAGUAGUC
rnacentral:rRNA from 1 species